UUUAGAUUAGGGGGAAGUGCAAACUCGAGGACACAUACGAUUCCGAAGUCCUCUGAAGUUCAACCAAGAAAAGCCGCUGCCGGACAAGAUAAGCGUCCGAACUAAAACUGACACAGGUAGGCGAGAUGAAUAUUCUAAGGCGCUCGAGAGAAUGCUUGUGAAGGAACUCUGCAAAUUAACUCCGUAACUUCGGGAAAAGGAGUGCCCCUGAGGGUGUCAAAGCUCAUGGGGGUCGCAGUGAAAAGGGUCUAGCGACUGUUUAUUAAAAACACAGGACUCUGCGAAUUCGUAAGAAGAUGUAUAGAGUCUGACGCCUGCCCGGUGUCGGUAAGUUAAGGAAGAGGGUUAUCGCAAGAGAAGCCCGCAACCGAAGCUCCGAUAAACGGCGGCCGUAACUAUGACGGUCCUAAGGUAGCGAAGUUCCUUGUCGGGUAAGUUCCGACCUGCAUGAAUGGCGUAACGACUGGACCACUGUCUCCACAAGCUACUCGGUGAAAUUGUAGUCGUCGUGAAGAUGCGACGUACCCGCAGUUAGACGGAAAGACCCCGUGAACCUUAACUGUAGGAUAGUAUUGGGUUUAGACCCAACAUGCGUAGCGUAGCUGGGAGGCUAUAAAGUGAGCGUUUCGGCGCCCACGAAGCCGUCGAUGAAACACCAGCCUUGUUGUGUUUGAAUUCUAACUCGUGUCACAACCACGUGGACAGUUCUAUCUGGGCAGUUUGAUUGGGGCGAUCUCCUCCUAAAAGGUAACGGAGGAGCGCAAAGGUACCCUCAGCCCGGUUGGCAAUCGGGCAUCGAGCGUAAACGUAUAAGGGUGCUUGACUGCGAGACCGAUAGGUCGAGCAGGGACGAAAGUCGGCGUUAGUGAUCCGGUGGUUCCGAAUGGAAGGGCCAUCGCUCAACAGAUAAAAGGUACUCCGGGGAUAACAGGCUUAUGACUCCUGAGCGUUCAUAGCGGCGGAGUCGUUUGGCACCUCGAUGUCGGCUCAUCGCAUCCUGGGGCUGGAGAAGGUCCCAAGGGUUUGGCUGUUCGCCAAUGAAAGCGGUACGUGAGCUGGGUUUAGACCGUCGUGAGACAGGUCGGUCCCUAUCUGCUGCGGGCGCAGGAUACUUGAGAGGCUUCCUCCCUAGUACGAGAGGAUUGGGAGGGACAUACCGCUGGUGUUCCAGUUGUGGCGCUAGUCGCAUCGCUGGGUAGCUACGUAUGGAAUGGAUAAACGCUGAAGGCAUAUAAGCGUGAAACUUCCCUCAAGAUAAGGUAUCCUUGCUUUGCUGAAGCCUCCCGAUAGAACAUCGGGUAUAUAGGUCGGAUGUGUAAGGCCAGUAAUGGUCUCAGCUAACCGAUACUAACAGGCGACCGCUUGACCAC
rnacentral:rRNA from 1 species